GAUUUUGGUUAUUUCUUGUCUUCUUCCUCAUCUCUUCUUCCGAUAAGGACACCAGUCAGACUGGUUCGCCAUAGUGAUUUUACUUUAACUUAAUUACCUUUUUCUAAGGCUCUAUCUACAAAUACAGUCAUAUUGGGCUGUGAGGAAGAAUCUGUCCCUGGUCUCUCUUCUGGCUUCUGGUAGCCUGAGGGGUGCCUUGGCUUUAGAUGGUGUUCUGUCUGCGUCUUCCCCUCAUCUUCCCUCUGUGUGUGUCUCCCUGUGCGUCUGCACCCAAAUUUCCCCGUUUUAUAAGAACACCAAUCAUAUUGGAUUAGGACUCACCCCAUCCCAAUGACCUCAUUUUAGUUUUGUUAUUUUUAUUUUUUGGCAGAGUCUCACUCUGUCACCCAGGCUGGAGUGCAAUGA
rnacentral:lncRNA from 10 species